UACAGAGACUGCGAGCGUUAUUCGGUUUCACUGGGCGUAAAGGGUGCGCAGGCGGCCGUGUGUGUGAGGCGUGAAAGCCCGGGGCUUAACCCCGGAAUUGCACCUCAAACUACACGGCUAGAGCAUUGGAGAGGGUAGCGGAAUUCACGGUGUAGCAGUGAAAUGCGUAGAUAUCGUGAGGAACACCAGAGGCGAAGGCGGCUACCUGGACAAUUGCUGACGCUCAGGCACGAAAGCGUGGGGAGCAAAAGGG
rnacentral:rRNA from 1 species